UAAAACAUUUUAUUAGAUGCAAGCUGCAUAUUAUUAGGAUAUUAUUGUGUCUUACUGAAAUUGUACUUUGACAAAUCGUUACUUAGUAAAAUGCGUUCUUACCUUAUAUAGUAACACUCAAUAUCAUUAAAUUACACUUAUCAAUAAA